rfam:Monodelphis domestica chromosome X, whole genome shotgun sequence.
AUGUGGGCCAUGUUCUUCAAUUUGUAGAUUUUCAGCAAAGAAGUAUUUGGUCCAUAGAG